rnacentral:rRNA from 1 species
UACGGAGGGUGCAAGCGGUAUCCGGAUUUAUUGGGUUUAAAGGGUCCGUAGGCGGACUCGUAAGUCAGUGGUGAAAUCUCAUAGCUUAACUAUGAAACUGCCAUUGAUACUGCGGGUCUUGAGUAAAGUAGAAGUGGCUGGAAUAAGUAGUGUAGCGGUGAAAUGCAUAGAUAUUACUUAGAACACCAAUUGCGAAGGCAGGUCACUAUGUUUUAACUGACGCUGAUGGACGAAAGCGUGGGGAGCGAACAGG